rnacentral:rRNA from 1 species
GUGCUUAACACAUGCAAGUCGAACGAUGAAGCCUAGCUUGCUAGGUGGAUUAGUGGCGCACGGGUGAGUAAUAUAUAGAUAACGUGCCUCUUAGUCUGGGAUAGCCAUUGGAAACGAUGAUUAAUACUAGAUACUCCUUCUCUAUCAAAUUAGAGUCGGGAAAGUUUUUCGCUAAGAGAUCGGUCUAUAUCCCAUCAGCUAGUUGGUAGUGUAAGAGACUACCAAGGCAAUGACGGGUAGCGGGUUUGAGAGGAUGAUCCGCCACACUGGUACUGAGACACGGACCAGACUCCUACGGGAGGCAGCAGUGAGGAAUAUUGCACAAUGGAGGAAACUCUGAUGCAGCAACGCCGCGUGGAGGAUGACGCAUUUCGGUGUGUAAACUCCUUUUAUAUGUCAAGAAAAUGACGGUAGCAUAUGAAUAAGCACCGGCUAACUCCGUGCCAGCAGCCGCGGUAAUACGGAGGGUGCAAGCGUUAUUCGGAAUCACUGGGCGUAAAGGACGCGUAGGCGGGAUGCCAAGUCUGAUGUGAAAUCCUAUGGCUUAACCAUAGAACUGCAUUGGAAACUGGUAACCUAGAGUAUGGGAGGGGGAGAUGGAAUUAGUGGUGUAGGGGUAAAAUCCGUAGAUAUCACUAGGAAUACCGAAAGCGAAGGCGAUCUCCUGGAACAAUACUGACGCUAAGGCGUGAAAGCGUGGGGAGCAAACGGGAUUAGAUACCCCGGUAGUCCACGCCCUAAACGAUGUUCACUAGUCGUCGGGAUGCUAGUCAUCUCGGUGAUGCACUUAACAGAUUAAGUGAACCGCCUGGGGAGUACGGU